rnacentral:rRNA from 1 species
CCUGGUAGCGGGGGAUAACUAUUGGAAACGAUAGCUAAUACCGCAUAACAGUAGAUAUUGCAUGAUAUCUGCUUGAAAGGUGCAAAUGCAUCACUACCAGAUGGACCUGCGUUGUAUUAGCUAGUUGGUGGGGUAACGGCUCACCAAGGCGACGAUACAUAGCCGACCUGAGAGGGUGAUCGGCCACAUUGGGACUGAGACACGGCCCAG